rnacentral:rRNA from 1 species
AAUAGAUACCCCGGUAGUCCACGCCGUAAACGAUGAGUGCUAAGUGUUAGAGGGUUUCCGCCCUUUAGUGCUGAAGUUAACGCAUUAAGCACUCCGCCUGGGGAGUACGGCCGCAAGGCUGAAACUCAAAGGAAAUUGACGGGGGCCCGCACAAGCGGUGGAGCAUGUGGCUUAAUUCGAAGCAACGCGAAGAACCUUACCAGGUCUUGACAUCCUCUGACAACCCUAGAGAUAGGGCUUCUCCUUCGGGAGCAGAGUGACAGGUGGUGCAUGGUUGUCGUCAGCUCGUGUCGUGAGAUGUUGGGUUAAGCCCCGCAACGAGCGCAACCCUUGAUCUUAGUUGCCAUCAUUAAGUUGGGCACUCUAAGGUGACUGCCGGUGACAAACCGGAGGAAGGUGGGGAUGACGUCAAAUCAUCAUGCCCCUUAUGACCUGGGCUACACACGUGCUACAAUGGACGGUACAAAGAGCUGCAAGACCGCGAGGUGGAGCUAAUCUCAUAAAACCGUUCUCAGUUCGGA